rnacentral:ribozyme from 11 species
UAAAAUAAACAGAAAAGAAGGAAAAAAUAAAGGAAGAACAAGUCCCUCUCUCUCACCCCUCUCGUUUCUGUCUGU